CACUGUCGAACACACUUUAGAGUAAAAAACUUGUUCAUCUAUCACCAAACCACAAGUUCAUCACCACAUUUAGGGUUGGCGUCCGGUGAACAUCGCCUCCAUCGACGACGAUUGUCGUCGUUAUGCGCAAUGGAUCAACAAGUUGGAAGUGUGGAAUGUCAUCGUCGUCUCCACGUCAUAUGAGCCAUAUGCGAGUUAGAUAUUAUGGCACGAUUUUAAGUUGCGAGUACAAUGAUGCGAGGGGAGGGCUGUUGAAAUGUGCGUCUACACAUUAUCGAGAGUUGUGCAAGAAUAGUAACUUCAAUGCUAAUUAUGUCUUGCUUGGAUGAGACAAGUCAGUAAUAUGAACAAAUUAUAUACUUCCAAAAAAAUACUAUGUUUUAUGUCAUAUUUAAAUAAAGCACAAACUCGUGAUUACAUUUGGUAGUUGAAAUCAAAGUUUAUUCAUUUUUCAUUA